GUUUAUCUCGCAUCAGUUCCAGCUGCCUUGUUAAAAGACACAGAAUAUGAAGGUCCUCUAAACCGUACCACCUGCAGCCUGUUACCUCCCUUGACUCGGGAUGAAACUGCAGUUAAUGAUCCUGUUCCCCCCAUGACGCCAACACACAGUCUGCAUCAUAAUGCACCAAAAACAAGCUGUUCACCUCAAAAUAUGCCCCAGUACAGGAAUGUGUUCAGUGACCGUGCCAAGAGGGGCUUCUGCUACUGGCUGGUUGACAAUAAAGCCUCAAAGUGUAAGUACUGAUCCAAGCCCAGACUCCAGUAAAAUGUCACCUAUGCCAUAAGUAUCAGCUUGGCAUGACAUUUACAUGCAUGUGUUGCUGUUAGGA